rnacentral:lncRNA from 1 species
AUCAGCCACUGCUAAUCGUAAGUAUUCGGCUUGACGUCGAUCGUGCGAAAUUCGUCGGCGUCGCUGAAGCACGAAAGCAAUUCGAUUUUUCCGUCAAUUUUAUUCUCCAAAGAUGAAUGGGAAGACGUGAAAAAUGUUGGAAAAGCGUAAGAGAAUGGCGGAAACAUUACGAAGAUUGAGAGAAUAAAAUAAUCGGCUAUUUAACAGCGUGGAAUCGUGUCGAAACCAACCGACCGCAGGAUUCGAGGUUUAGUAUCGUGCAAUAAUAGUGAUUUAUGAAACGACGCGCUGACCGAAUCUGGGUACUGAGGACGAGGACGAGGACCAGGACGAGAACGAGGACGAGGACGAAACGCGGAGAAGUGAACUUACAUGCGACGAAUGAAAACGCGUCGUGGUGCAUGGUAUGACAAUUAUACAGAGGCUAAUGUAAGUACCUUUCACACUACUACUACAUACUACAUACUACUACAUACUAUUACUAGCGAAGAUGAGAAAAAUACGAAAUACGGGAAAGACUAGUUUCACAGACUCGCCUGGCGGAGGUCUCAGACCCCGCGGACGGUGUGCAGAGACGAAAGGAAAUUUUACGGCGACGUCCGCAUCGUCAUUUUAAGUGCGUGCACAAUAACGCGAGCCAGUCCGAUUGUAAGGUGGACAGAAAUGACAAGUUACACGUUGAUUGAAAUCAUAAUUAUGCACACCGGAUUAGCGUCAUCGGUACGAUACGUGAACCGAUUUCAUUGACCGCAUCGAGCGUUGUCUGAACCGAUAACUCUUCGACGUCGAACUAUAUUUAGAAAUACAGCGUCGUCUUCGUUGUAAACGCAGAGAUAAAUGCUGCUGCACCAGUUCAACAUUCUUACCCCUUAUCUUUGUCGUCGUGCCGUUGUUACCGAGUCGCCUAGCGAUUGCUAACUGCAGCUAAUUGGCAUGGCAGAUAUUAUGCAUAUGUAUGGGCAACGUCGUCGUGCAACCAAUGACUGUAAUUUGUGCUCACAAUAUAGCUAGCCGUGAUGAAAUUGGGUAUGGAAGUCGUGAUUUCUAAACUAAACGGAUCGUUAGUCGAAAGAGAAACUUUUUAACGAGUGUAAAAUAAUCACUGGUCUGCAAAAGAAUGAACUUUUUUCUGUCUCCUUCUUAUCAUCAUGUGCAAUAAUAAUAGAUCUCAUGCUUUUGAAUCAAAACAUGGUAAUAAAAAAUACGUGACACGUAAACUUUUUAUGCAA